AUUGAACGCUGGCGGCAGGCCUAACACAUGCAAGUCGAGCGGAGCGGCGGACGGGUGAGUAAUGCCUAGGAAUCUGCCUGGUAGUUGGGGAUAACGUCCGGAAACGGGCGCUAAUACCGCAUACUAUCAGAUGAGCCUAGGUGGGAUUAGCUAGUGGGUGGGGUAACUGCCUACCAAGUCGACGAUCCGUAACUGGUCUGAGAGGAUGACCAGCCACAUUGGAACUGAGACACGGUCCAGACUCCUACGGGAGGCAGCAGUGGGGAAUAUUGCACAAGGGGCGCAAGCCUGAUGGAGCCAGGCCGCGUGUGUGAAGAAGGCUUUCGGGUUGUAAAGCACUUUCAGCGGGGAGGCGUUACCCGAAGAAGAAGCACCGGCUAACUCCGUGCCAGCAGCCGCGGUAAUAC
rnacentral:rRNA from 1 species